AAAAAGUCCAGCUUUUGUGACACCUCCUUCAUCCAUCAUCUCACAAACUGAAGAAAGCAGAAAUCUAGCCAACUCAAUGGAGAAUUCUCCUUUAGAUAUGGCUUCAAAGUGCCCAGAUUCUUCUGUUUUGCUCACCCAUGAAAAUGCAAUAGGGAUCAUUGGGGGGUUAUCCAUUGGAACCACUCUCAAUUUUAUGAGCAAGCUUGUCACAUGGAGUUCUAAAGAUGGUGGAAAUAGCAUUCCCUUUGU
rnacentral:misc_RNA from 1 species